GAGACAGAAGUGAAUUGAGAUAGUGGAGCUUGAGAAGACAGUCCUUCCCUGUCCACAGGAGUCUGAGGAUGACCUGAUGGCAGGGGUCCAGGGAAAGAAAAACACCAGGCAUCAGAUGGGAUUACCUUCAUACGGGGAACCCUAGAGGAUGUUGUGUAUCACAAAAAAAAACAGCUAUACUGCUGGCACUUAGAGAAGAAACUGAAAAUGCAUGCCCAGCAAUCUCAACGACCAAGAUUAUCCAAGCAGCAGUUUGGAAGCUCAUGGCCACCACUCUGAGUACUGCUUAUAAUUAUAGAGACCAAAGAAGCUGCCCAGGACUGGUACUGCCCUUGGGGUUUACAGUAUUAGCUCUCCUUUGGGAGAAGCAAGGAAUGUCCCAGCUGGCUUCUGAGGACCGGCUGCCAUCUCUACCCAUGCUGCAUGCUGUGCUUCUGUUGUUUGAAAUAUUCAAACUUACUCCACCUUCCCUCAACGCUGGGGCUCCGUGUUGCUGUACUCAUGUACAGGUGAGCACUCUACACUCAGAACGGUCGACCCACGCAGCCAAGCCCACCCACCCUGCAAAGUCCACUCGCCCCAGCCCCCAUCCUUCAUUGGCACAUACUUUCUGAGCUACAACUUGGUACCUGUUCCCUUUGUCCCGGAGUCUGACUCAGACCUCUCGCUUCCCCUAACAGCAGCGGCUUUGCUGUCCUCCCCUGGUGUUCAUCCUUCUUCCUUUCAAUCUCCUCUCCCACAGCACCCAGGGAGACUUCUGCACAUUCGCUCUUGCCCUGGGUUUGACCCCUGCCCUCUCCUCCUUCCUUGUGGCUUCUUUUGGGGACUUUAAGCACUCCCUGGCUUUGUCUGUUUCCUCGUAUCUCCUUUUCUCUUACAUCUUUCUUUUCAUCUUCUGCUGACCCUGUGUGGUCCAUUUCAUAACUGGAUAUAGCUCAGUGUGAAGGCUCUGGGUUCAAUCACCAGUACCAGAAAAAGAAGGAAAAGGGAGAGAAGUAGGAGGAGAAGGAGAGGGGAGAGGGAGGGGAGACAGAUGGGGAAAAGGAGGAGGAAGAAGAGGAGAAGGAGAAAGAGGGGGAGUGGAGAAGGAGGGGAAGGAGGAGGAGAAACAAAAGGAAGAGGGGUGUAAGAAGAGGAACAGGGGUGGGAGAGGAAGGAGACUGUGAAAAUAUUGCAAGGGCUGGCUUUUGUCCACAGUGUGAGGAUUCUCCUGCUUCCUCACCAAGUUUCCCUUCCUGACAACCCACUGUCACAGGGAACCCAACCACUGGCUCCCCCACUUGUUGGGGAUGUCCCUUCUGAGGACAUGGGUGAGGCCGCAAGAGCUGAACUCACCUUGGUGCUCCACGGCUUCCCUGUGCUGUGCAGGCUUGUGGGAAGUGGAGGGCAUCCUGAGCUUGCAGUAGAAACUGCUGGCUGCUCCCCACUUGCACUUCCUCUUCUUUCUCCUGUAACAGGUCCCCCACAUUCUAGCUGGGCACAUACCUCCCAGCUGGAGACAACAUGUUCCAGCUUACCUUGCAACUGCUGAGGUCAUGCAACUUCCUUCUGGCCAAUGGGACAUGCGUAAAUCAGAUGGUGCAUAUCUCAGUCCAUGCCUUGGGAGACAGGGUGAGAACACGGCCCCUCACCUGCUGUACUGGAUUAACAAAUGGUCAGUUUAUAACACCCAGCUGAACCGAAUCAGCGUGGUGCUGGGUGUGGAAGUCCCACCUGAGGAUUGUUGCCAACAGCAUAAAAGGAGAACUGGAGGGGGAGAUGGUGUGCUGUUGAUUCUCUUGGAGAAGCUUGUUGUGCUGGCUUCCCUGGUAUGAGCUCGGCUGUUCUUAUCAUUGGAGGAGCUCUGGUCCUCACUGUUGCUGAGGAUGACUGUGGUUCUCUUUGGGGGGAAUCUUGUUCUUACCUUGAGCAUCCCUUCCUGGCUCCAUUGCAGAUCCCUCAGCCUGCUGACACCGAUCCUUCAUUCCGCGGGUACAGACUUUCUAGCUUCCAUCACUGAGUGCAGACCCUUGAUACAGACUUGCAUAAGAUAUUGUCAUGGGCUCUAGGCCUCCCACUGGACUUGUGGAGGACAUUGCCAUGGGAUCCAGGCCCUCAGCUGGAUUCUUUGGGUCUCUAGUGUGUGGACAGAUCUCCCACAUUCUUUUGCAUUUGACUCUUUGGGUGAAUAUUACAAAAUAAUACAAUAAAUUAUGUAUCUUGUACUAAAUUCAUUCCCUUGUAAACUCUGACUACAACACCUGCCCACACCAGCAGGCCCUUUGUGCCUUCUAAAAUCUGCACCCUAGAACCUGGAAGAGCAACAAAAGAGGAGCCUGUGUGCCAGAGCCACCACAUAAGCCCAGUUUGCUGACUUUCAGACUAUUAGAGGAAAAUAAACUUUUACCUUGCUUGAACCGUGGAAUUUGGGGACUUCUUUGUUACAGCAUCUUGAUCCACAUGCUACCUGGUACAGUGAUUGAUAGAUGGUCCUUUCCCCUCUGUGUGACUUGGGGGCAGACACUGAGCAGGCUAAGAUGGGAGGGAGGUUGUAAUGUCUAGAUUUUCUGUUCUGUGACCUUUCAAACUUUUCCCUACUACAGAUCGUUGCAGGACACAGGCGUGCAAUGUCACCACCCGCUUUCUCAGCUCACAGGCCUAGACAAGGACUC
rnacentral:lncRNA from 1 species